CGGCGCACGGGUGAGUAACACGUAUCCAACCUGCCGUCUACUCUUGGACAGCCUUCUGAAAGGAAGAUUAAUACAAGAUGGCAUCAUGAGUCCGCAUGUUCACAUGAUUAAAGGUAUUCCGGUAGACGAUGGGGAUGCGUUCCAUUAGAUAGUAGGCGGGGUAACGGCCCACCUAGUCUUCGAUGGAUAGGGGUUCUGAGAGGAAGGUCCCCCACAUUGGAACUGAGACACGGUCCAAACUCCUACGGGAGGCAGCAGUGAGGAAUAUUGGUCAAUGGGCGAGAGCCUGAACCAGCCAAGUAGCGUGAAGGAUGACUGCCCUAUGGGUUGUAAACUUCUUUUAUAAAGGAAUAAAGUCGGGUAUGUAUACCCGUUUGCAUGUACUUUAUGAAUAAGGAUCGGCUAACUCCGUGCCAGCAGCCGCGGUAAUACGGAGGAUCCGAGCGUCAUCCGGAUUUAUUGGGUUUAAAGGGAGCGUAGAUGGAUGUUUAAGUCAGUUGUGAAAGUUUGCGGCUCAACCGUAAAAUUGCAGUUGAUACUGGAUAUCUUGAGUGCAGUUGAGGCAGGCGGAAUUCGUGGUGUAGCCGGUGAAAUGCCUAGAUAUCACGAGGAACUCCGAUUGCGAAGGCAGCCU
rnacentral:rRNA from 1 species